rnacentral:rRNA from 1 species
UGGCUCAUUAUAUAAGUUAUCGUUUAUUUGAUAGUACCUUACUACUUGGAUAACCGUGGUAAUUCUAGAGCUAAUACAUGCUUCAAAUCCCGACUUCGGAAGGGAUGUAUUUAUUAGAUUAAAAGCCAAUGCCCUCUGGGCUCCUUGGUGAUUCAUAAUAACUUUUCGAAUCGCAUGGCCUUGCGCCGGCGAUGGUUCAUUCAAAUUUCUUCCCUAUCAACUUUCGAUGUUUGGGUAUUGGCCAAACAUGGUUACAACGGGUAACGGAGGGUUAGGGCUCGACCCCGGAGAAGGAGCCUGAGAAACGGCUACUACAUCCAAGGAAGGCAGCAGGCGCGCAAAUUACCCAAUCCCGACUCGGGGAGGUAGUGACAAUAAAUACUGAUACAGGGCUCUUUUGGGUCUUGUAAUUGGAAUGAGUACAAUUUAAAUCCCUUAACGAGGAACAAUUGGAGGGCAAGUCUGGUGCCAGCAGCCGCGGUAAUUCCAGCUCCAAUAGCGUAUAUUAAAGUUGUUGUGGUUAAAAAGCU